GGGCUAUUAGCUCAAAUGGAUAGAGCAAAAGACUUCUAAUCUUUAGGUUACAGAUUCGAGUUCUGUAUAGCCCA
rnacentral:tRNA from 1 species